UAGGUGGCAAGCGUUGUCCGGAAUUAUUGGGCGUAAAGCGCGCGCAGGCGGUCCUUUAAGUCUGAUGUGAAAGCCCACGGCUCAACCGUGGAGGGUCAUUGGAAACUGGGGGACUUGAGUGCAGGAGAGAAAAGUGGAAUUCCACGUGUAGCGGUGAAAUGCGUAGAGAUGUGGAGGAACACCAGUGGCGAAGGCGACUUUUUGGCCUGUAACUGACGCUGAGGCUCGAAAGCGUGGGUAGCAAACAGGAUUAGAUACCCUGGUAGUCCACGCCGUAAACGAUGAGUGCUAAGUGUUGGAGGGUUUCCGCCCUUCAGUGCUGCAGUUA
rnacentral:rRNA from 1 species